GUUUAAUUUGGGCACUUACUUUCACUUCGCCAUUGCGGAGUCCGCUUUCUGACGGGAAAAAACAAACCAAUCAAACACUGGAGAGAAGGGGGAGGUGCCGUAAGUUCCGUUGCUGUCGUAAAACCCUUAAAGCUUGAAGAUGGCAGAACAACCAGAGCAGUCAGAAGGGACCAUCUUUCUCCUCCAGCGGCGGCGACGAAAGGUGUCGGAGCAGCGCUCCUUACUGUGAAACUUUGAACCAAACAGGGACGAGUAUUCCCAGCCUUCUUCGGAAUUUUGCCUCUGCAGAAGAAACAAAUGAGUGAAGAUAUUCCAAAUCUGCUCUCCUUUUUUUUAAUUUACUCUUUCCUAUACCUUAGCGACAAUCCUUUUCUCCGGUAUUUUCCUCCUUGAUCUGAUAAGUCUCUUCCUGCGGUGGACAUGGAACAUCUUCUCUGCUGCAACCCAGGAACCAGGUUUCUCAUUAGGGGGUCUGUUGCUGUCAAAACUCCAGUCGCCCUCCCAGGUCCAUCCAGGAGGACACUCGAACUCUUCAGGGCUCUGAAGCUGUUCCCCAUUCUAUGCAGCACACAGAUUACCAUCAUUCACAUAGAGUAUUUUCCCCACUUAGCAGUAAAGAAAUAAAACUUGUACAACAAGUAAGCUAUUUUUAUCUAUUAAUACAAGUGACAAGUGCCUUGAUUUUUACUUUAAAGUUGCCUCAUUUUCUGUGGAAAAAAUCCAACCUCCGCCUUCUUUUUUUAAGUUUUCAUUAUGGAACUGAUUUAGGACGUCAACUUAUAACUCAGACAUAAUAUAGAGUUUAUUAAAAGAUCCAAAAACUCA